CUAUACAUGCAAGUCGAGCGAACAGACAAGGAGCUUGCUCCUUUGACGUUAGCGGCGGACGGGUGAGUAACACGUGGGUAACCUACCUAUAAGACUGGGAUAACUUCGGGAAACCGGAGCUAAUACCGGAUAAUAUUUCGAACCGCAUGGUUCGAUAGUGAAAGAUGGUUUUGCUAUCACUUAUAGAUGGACCCGCGCCGUAUUAGCUAGUUGGUAAGGUAACGGCUUACCAAGGCGACGAUACGUAGCCGACCUGAGAGGGUGAUCGGCCACACUGGAACUGAGACACGGUCCAGACUCCUACGGGAGGCAGCAGUAGGGAAUCUUCCGCAAUGGGCGAAAGCCUGACGGAGCAACGCCGCGUGAGUGAUGAAGGUCUUCGGAUCGUAAAACUCUGUUAUUAGGGAAGAACAUACGUGUAAGUAACUAUGCACGUCUUGACGGUACCUAAUCAGAAAGCCACGGCUAACUACGUGCCAGCAGCGGCCGGGUAAUAA
rnacentral:rRNA from 1 species